rnacentral:rRNA from 1 species
AUUGAACGCUAGCGGGAUGCCUUACACAUGCAAGUCGAACGCAGUGGGGACGGGUGAGUAACACGUGGGUAACCUCCCAUCAGAGGGGAUAACACUUGGAAACAGGUGCUAAACCGAUACUGAUGGAUGGACCCGCGGUGCAUUAGCUAGUUGGUGAGGUAACGGCUCACCAAGGCCACGAUGCAUAGCCGACCUGGGAGGGUGAUCGGGCAAACUUGGACUGGGGAACGGCCCAGACUCCUACGGGAGGCAGCAGGAGGGAAUCUUCGGCAAUGGGCGGAAGUCUGACCGAGCAACGCCGCGGGAGUGAAGAAGGUUUUCGGAUCGUAAAGCUCUGUUGUUAGAGAAGCGGUAACUAACCAGAAAGGGACGGCUAACUACGUGCCAGCAGCCGCGGUAAUAC